CUGCAUCCCUCCCUUUCUGUUGCACUUAAGUCCAGAUCCUCUCUGACCAUUCCCGCUCACAAGCGGAGAGCGACACAGCACCACGGUGCCUAAGGACCAUAGAAAUUGCCACAGAGGUGGGGGCAGAGAUCGUCUUCAAGGUUGUUGUCAUCCGGAAUUUUAUGUCCUUCAUUUUCUUUCACUCUGUAUGCCUGUCACAUCGUCUUAACUAUCAUGCUGGAUCUCUGGUUAUUCUUGAACACCUUGGCUAGAGGCCCUUGGGAAGAACUGCAUGCUCAGCCUGCAAGAACUCAAUAUGAGUGAUAGCAGGAUGAUGGAUUGGCUCAGUUCAAGGUGAUAUCCCAGAUGGUGCAAGACAGAGCAAGGAUUAUCAUGUGAUGGUGACACCUCUCCUCCUCUGUCAGUCAGACAGAACUAGCUGUCCCACAGAACUGCAGCAGCCUGCUAUUAUGAGGGGUACUGUCAUAUAAAUUAUUCACACUGAAAUAUUUGUUCAGCUCUGUUGUGUUUAUAAGUUUUCCAUUACGAAUUAAAAUUUGAAGAGAUUUUCCAGUGGCAAAAACUUCCCCAAACACCCUUCCUCCAAGUUACCAACCUCUGGUGUUGUUUCAAUAUGCAAAUGUUAAGUGUCAUUGUCUGGGAUGAGUGACUUCAAGCAAAGAUGUUCCUAUACCUUUUAAAA